GCAGAGUGAGGGGCAGUGGGUUAGGGUUAGGCUGUUUCGCAGCCAGAGGAGGAGCAGUUAGUCAUAGGGGACAUGCGAAGUGUGGUGAUGCAGACGGACAGCCCGUGUGUGAUGGAAGUGAUGGAAACCCAGAAAGGGAGCGCUCCAAUGUGGCCUUUUAUAAAGAAGGACAUGCAGCCAUACUCAUUUUUACACAUCUGCAAAUGUAGAAUCAGCCUCCAGCAUCACGCUUUUGGACUUGGCCUUGGAAGAAAUGCAGAAAAAGUUUGGUAAGUCCAUCAAAACAAGAUGCUUGCAUUUCAGUUGGGAUUGAAUCCAGUGAUUGUCCUUUGCUCAGGUUGUGUUCAAACCUUCUUCAGGGUUUACAUUUCCGUUCAUGGUCAGCAUACUUGCCUUGCAUUAGUGCUUUAGUUAUGUUGCACAUAUGCUCGCUAGUAUGGAAAUGUUACCCAGGUCUGGCACUGUUACCCAUUUAAAUCAUAUGAACGUGCUUAUUUUCUCUCGCAAUGAAAGUCACUCUGCAUUAGACUGCUUGCUAAAUUAACCCCUUAAGUCGCAUCAGGCUCGAGUAGACUUAUUUUCAUUCAUUUUUUAAUGGUGAAACAUUCAAUUAAUCGGGUAAGUUUUCCUCCCACAGUCCAAAGACAUGCAGGUUAGGUGAAUCGGAAAUUGCCCCUAUGUAUGAAUGUGUGCGUGUGAAUGGUGUGUGUACCCUGCAAUGGACUGGCAAACUGUCCAGGGAGUGUUCCUGCAUCUCACCCAAUGCAUUCUGGGAUAGAUUUAUCUGCUUCCCGUGGUCCUGACCAGGAAUAAGCAGGUAUAGAUAAUGGAUGGAUGGAUGGACAGAAUCCUUAUCAGGGCAAAGUCCAGUGAACAAAACCUGGGGUAGUCUUUAGUUCCAAAAAUGAACUCCGAGAAACAUUGAGAAAAAAAAAGCAUUGUUUACUUUCAGCUUGUUGCACACCUGAGAUGCGUUCUCAGAGGUAAGCAAUGAUGUAGAGGUAGGAAGUUUUGACUUCAGACGUCGUCCAAUUAAUAGCUGCCCUGGUGACAGCCCUAUGCCCUCCAGUGGCGUGUUGCGAUACUCUAAAAUCGCAAUGUAAGGAUCACCAUUGCUGCACUGUGACCUCUUGAGCAGGUUCUUAAUGGUCUGCACUGUUCUCUCCGCUUGACCAUUCGAUUGUGGAUGGUGUGGACUGAAUGUCACAUGUUUAAACUCCCAGUUUUCUGCAAAGGCUUUAAACUCGGCACUUGCAUACUGUGGGUCGUUGUCAGAUAUGACAAGGUCUGCAAUGCCAUGCCUUGCGAAUAUGGAUUUCAUUGCAUUGAUGACACCUCGACUGGUUGUUUCAGUCAGCUUGCUGAUUUCUGGGUACUUAGAGAAGUAGUCUACACAGAGCAGGAACUCUGAUCCGUUGUAAUGAAAGAUAUCAGUGCCUAUCUUCUCCCAUGGUCGUUCUGGCAGUGUGUGGGAAAGUAGUGGUUCUCUCGGAUUGCUAUUUUGGUGCUCGUUGCACACCGCACAUUGAGAUACCAUUUCCUCAAUUUGAGAGGUCAUUCCCGGCCAGUAUAGGAUGUCUCUUGCUCUAGCUUUACACUUGACCAUUCCUAGGUGUGACUCAUGUAUUUUGCUGAGCAUUUCUUGCCUGAGUUGUUUUGGGACAAUGAGCUUUUCAGCUUUGAACAACAGUCCAUCUGAAUAAUUGAUCUCCUCUCUGAAAGUCCAGUAUGGCUGUAUUAUUUUUGGUACUGCACCCAUUUCCCUUGGCCAUCCUCUUGCAGUGGUGUUCUUCAAUGCCUGCAUUUCCAGAUCUUUUGCUGUCAUUCUUUUGCACACUUCCUGCUUUUCCUCUGUCGUGGGUAGCUGGCGUGCAAUGCAGUUUACUACCAGGUCCUCCUCCAACAAAUCCUUUUCCGUUUCUCUGAGCCAAGCACAGCUUAAAGCAUCAGCAAUGUGGAGUUCUCUGCCUGGCUUGUAUGUGACCUUGAGACUAUAUUCUAUACUUUUUCUAUCUGCGCAUACCUACGCUGGCAGUCAGUGAGUGCACUUGAUGCAUAUGCAACAGGCUUACCCUUCUGCAGUAUGACUGCGCCAGUGCCUUCUGAGCUUGCGCCUACUGAUAGCGUUACAGGCUCAUUGACGUCAUAAAACUUCAGUGUGGGAGCAUUCGUGACCAGCCUCUUGAGUUCUUCAAAGCCUUUCCAUUGGGCUUGCUCCCAUUGCCAUUCAGUGUCCUUCUCAAGCAGUUUUCUCAAUGGAGCGCUGACUUCUGAUAGGUUGGGUAUGAAUUUUGCGAGAUACUGUAUCAUGCCCAUGAAUCUGAGGAGUUCUUGUUUGUCUUCCGGUGGUGGUAGCUGAACAACUGCUCUCACCUUCUCCUUGUCCGGUCUCAAUCCAUUGGCACUGAGAAUGUGGCCUAUGUAUUUGAUUUCUGUCAUUCUGAUUUUGCAUUUGUUUCUGUUUAACUUGAGGUUGUUUUCUCUGGCCCUCUCCAGCAGCUUCACUAACCUGUGAACCUCUGGUGUGUCUCCCCACACCAGCAGGUCAUCAAUGAUGUUGACGACUCCUUCCAGGCCUUCUAUCAUCUGCGCCACGGACCUCUGGAACACUUCUGAUGCUGAUGAUAUUCCAAAGGGUAAACGCAGGAAGCGGUAGCGCCCUAUUGGAGUGUUCAUUGUGCACAGCUUGGAGCUCUCAUCAUCAAGUUUGAUUUGCCAAAAUCCCUGGUUGGUGUCCAAUACUGAAAAAUACUUUGCAUUUGGCAUGCGGGUUACAACUUCUUCCACAGUCAGCAGUGGAUAGUGUUCCCUUUUUAUUGCUCGGUUUAAAUCUCUUGGGUCCAUGCAAAUGCGAAUCUUCCUUGGUGUGACUACAGUGUGUGACCAUGCUGUUGACCCACUCAGUCGGUUCUGUCUGUUUUGUGAUGACUCCCAUCUGUUCCAUUAGGUGUAAUUCAUCAAUGACUCUGUCCCUGAGAGCAACUGGAAUCUUCCUUGGAGCAUGUACAACUGGCUUGACUGUGCUGUCAAUCUGUAUGUGGUGCUGUCCAGAUCUGUGACAUAUGCACCUAUUGUCUCGGACGGUCCUUGUGCCCGCGUGAAGAACACGUGGCGCGUGUAUGGUAAGUUUUUUCUAGGUUCGCAAUAUUCUUUAAACUUUCGCUUUAGCACUGCGAUUUUGUCCUUCUCUCCCUCUUGGAAUUCAAACGUGUUGCUUACUUUCAUUGCCUCUUCACCAGCGACAUGCAAAAACGUGGCACAUUGCACAGUUUUCGACUUCUCUACUAUUCCGCUAGCAGUGCAAAACAGUUCAAAACGCUGAAUCCAGCUUUUCCAAUUUUCAGAAAGAUUACCUCGCGGGCUCAAAGCUGACGGCGGCUGUAACUGUGCCAUUUUCUUGUCUCUUUAUAUUCUUUUAGAUUGAUUCUGACACCCUGUUAUGUUUGGUAGAAAUCAGACGGACAACUUAUAACUGAAACAGAGCUUUACUGCAGCUAGUGGUUUCCAAUAGUUCACCAUCACGUUUGUCUUACAUUCCACAUGACGUCACUGACGCAUUUCAACUACGGAUAACCAAGCGAAACAUACAGUGCCAAUGCAUAUACAUUACAGGCACCAUUUUACCCAUUUUUAAAAAAUACACACAUACACACAACAUACGCAAAAAAAAAAAUAUAGCGUAGUCUACAGUUGACCCUUUCGCUAAUAUACAAUUAUGGCUUGCUCAGGUUACACCGUGCGCGCACACACACACACACACACACAUAAGCUACUAUUAAUGAUAUAUUGGAUUGUUAUUAUUGACACAGACUGUAGUGAGCCAAAUUGCAAUGUUGCCAAGAUAGUACCUAGCCAGUCCACACGUAAGCAAAUUAGCCUACUUAGAAUGGUAACAGAUGAUACAUUGCCGUCAACUAAUGACUGUUUAUCAUACUAUCAGUUAAUAAUUACCCAAUUUAUCCAUAAUCUUUAAAGUCUCUCUAUCAAACUGUCGGAUAACAAAUGGAGAAUACUUACUUGUUACCUGUCCACUCGUCUGCAUGUUUGAGCUGCAACUUGCGCUGUGCCUUGCCGAAGCCACUGACAGCUGCCUGUGCCAAUGCGGGACUCAUGAACGACAUGUGAACUGCGGAGUUAUAAAGUUAUGGGGUGCGAUGGCUGUCUGAAGGGACAAGAUGUAUGCAUGAAAACUCAUCCCUUUCCAUUAAUUGUAACAUUAGAACAUAUUAGCCACAAUUCUAUGUUUAAAAUAUUGUUUGUUUUUGUUGGUCAUGUUAGUUGGGUGGGCACAUACCCACCCUGAGUCAAUUGGCACAACGCUACUGACACUGAUUAAAUUGCAGAUUUACACAAAUAAAUAUGUAUUUCAGGUUUCAGCUUUCCUUAUAAUACAGGAAACAUCUAAUAAACAUGAUUUGGAGCUCAGAUUUUUUUGUCAUAUACAUAUUUAAUAUGGCCAGAACAAAUGAUAAACUUUUGUGUAUCAGUAAAAUGUACAGUUUUCCGGUCUAUGCACAAAUUAUUCCAAUUUUGACAAUGUUCCCCCACUUGGAUUUUCAUGGAGUUUUCAUGAGCUGAAUACAACAAAAAUAAUUUCUGUUGCAAUUAGUCCUCGGUUGGGUGAAAUUUUCUCACAGAUUGCCUAGUCUAUAUUUAGUUUACACUAAUGUCUUCCUGUUUAUCAUCUGAGUUUCUGGGUAGGAAAAGGGAGGGUAACAUGACAAAUAUCAACAAAAGACUCUUGGAAUCUUACAACGUGUGAAGCUCCACGAUUCCCAUUCUUAGCAGAAUCUUAAGAUGUGUGCACCUCUAGGAGUAAAACCAUUGACUUGGACAGAUGUUGUUAAAUGUGAGUGAGUGUGCCAGACUUUAGUCGUCUAAAAGUCAUCUAGUGUAUGAGAGGCAUAAUCUACAAGUCUUUGGGCUGCGGGUGAAAAGCUGGAACACCCAGAGGAAGCCCACGUGGACCCGAGGAGAACAUGCAGGCUCCACACGGAAAGGCUCCGGCUGGGAUUCGGACCUGGGACCUUCAUGAUGAAGGGUUACUGUGCUACCCGCUGCCCCACCACGCCCAAGGUUCCAUCUGGUCUGGAGUCAAUGACGCUGUCCUCCUCCCAAAAUUACGCACCGCAGACACUCAGACACUUUGAUUCAUGAUGACUGGCUGUUGUAGAUUAACUUGAUUUUAUUUUCCUUCAUACAAAAUGUCCACUAUCUUCAGGGAAGGUACUGGGACACAGGAGAUUGAUCUGGAAAAGAGGAUCUGAAAGCAGCCCCUGUUCUUAUCAGGGGAGACUGCAGCACCAAGGAUCAGGAAGAAUGGAGAGAACCAGAGGAGGAGAGAGCCAGCUACUUCAGAUCUGGAGCCAUUUUCAUAAAACAGAUCUGGACUACACAAGGAGAGAUAAUAACACCCAACCACAAAAAAUAUGAAAAAAGCUAACAAAAAAAUCAUUUGUUAUUUAAAAAGGACAUACAUACAACACUAAUGCUACAGGAAAUCUAAUGAAGGGAAGGAAAGAUGAAUUGUGAUCUAAUAAAAUCUACAGAAAUUUUCCAAUUAAACAGUAAAAGUAUAAUUAUUAUGCCAGUCCUCACACAUAUAUAAAAUGAGUUUUUUAAACGAUACAGAGAAACUCUCAUUUUACUCAGUAUUAUAUACCUAAUAUUACCAUAUAUACGGCUCUUGUACUUUUCGAAAAGUAGGAAGUAAAUCGGCUGGAUUCACAGUUUCCGCAACGAUGUAGAUUGAUGACACACUUGCUCAGAGGAAGCGGACACGUGCUCACAAGUUUAGAACAGGAAAAUGCUGGUUUGGUGCUGGUUUCUCUUGCAAUUUUUUUUUCAUCUCAUCGGAGCAACACCUGAGAUCUGUAAAAAGCAAUCGCCGUGCAAUGCUCCUGAAUGUUUCAAAAUGAGGGGGUCACCAGAACCAGCUUGCACCUCCACCAAUCAAACACAUCUCUGCAGAAUUGACGGCAGCUACAUUGAGUAUAAUUGUGAUGCCGAUUUAAGCUGCAAAUGUAACGGACGUCCAUUUGAACUGGCAGACUUACCCAAAUGCCUUGUAAAAGAAACGAGACAACCAACAACACCAGAAGUGGCAAAGGGGAACAACAGCCCCAGGAUCAAAUCAUUUGGUCUGCUGGUGCUCCUGGUGCUGCCUUUUGUUACACAGGGGAACCUGAUUUUGGAUCUGAUGACCUGGUUGCUGAUUACACUCAUCUGAGUUAACCUGGUCGCCGGGUGGAUAAAGCUGGAAGACUGCAAACCUGAACUACUUUUGGCUCUCCCUAUUGCUUCUUCAGCUGGCUUGCUUGUAGUUUUAGAAUUUUAAGCUGCUUUGUUUUGCAUUAGUGUAUCUUUUUAGUCAAUAAAUAAAUAGCAUCAGCACC